rnacentral:rRNA from 1 species
UAUUGUUCUUCAACGAGGAAUCCCUAGUAAGCACAAGUCAUCAGCUUGUGCUGAUUACGUCCCUGCCCUUUGUACACACCGCCCGUCGCUACUACCGAUUGAAUGGCUUAGUGAGGCCCUCGGAUUGGAUUUCGGAAGCUGGAAACAGCAUCUGAUCUUCGAGAAGUUGGUCAAACUUGGUCAUUUAGAGGAAGUAAAAGUCGUAACAAGGUUUCCGUAGGUGAACCUGUGGAAGGAUCAUUAAUAAACGUGAUUCGGCGAAACCGUUAAGGUUUUGCGAAAAACUAUUGUAUUUAAAACCUUCACACUUAUAAACGAAAUAAUUUUUUUAUUAUAAAAAAAUAAAAAAGAUCACUUUCAACAACGGAUCUCUUGGCUCUCGCAUCGAUGAAGAACGUAGCGAAUUGCGAUAAGUAAUGUGAAUUGCAGAAUUCCGUGAAUCAUCGAAUCUUUGAACGCAAAUUGCACUCUCUGGUAUCCCGGAGAGUAUGCCUGUUUGAGGGUCGGUAAAAUGAAAUAUCGAUGUGUUGCUUUUUUGCAACAUUUCGGAAUUGGGUUAACUUGAUCCUCAAGUGACCUAAAAUUCAUUACUUCGGUAUGAUUAACGUAUUUAAUUAUUUCGUUUGAAUGCUGAAUUAUAUUAGAUGUGACUAUUUAAUAUAGCAUCACUUCUAUAAUUUUUUGAAUUUCGACCUCAAAUCAGGUAAGAGUACCCGCUGAACUUAAGCAUAUCAAUAAGCGGAGGAAAAGAAAAUAACAAUGAUUCCCUUAGUAACUGCGAGUGAAGAGGGAUAAGCUCAAAUUUUAAAUCUGUUAGGUUUUACCUGACCGAGUUGUAAUUUGAAGAAACGUUUUCGCGUGUGUUUGAUCGGCCCAAGUCCUUUGGGAUGAGGCAUCACGGAGGGUGAUAAUCCCGUACGGCCGUCAUUGCACGUAUACGAUACGUUUUCAAAGAGUCAAGUUGUUUGGGAUUGCAGCUUAAAAUGGGGAGGUAAAUUUCUCCUAAGGCUAAAUAUUGGCGAGAGACCGAUAGCGAACAAGUACCGUGAGGGAAAGAUGAAAAGCACUUUGAAAAGAGAGUUAAAUAGUACGUGAAAUUGUUGAAAGGGAAACGAUUGAAGCCAGUCGUACCGACGGAGAAUCAGCUUUUGGAGUGCGUGAUGCGGGUAUUCGAGGAGUUUAAAAGCCCUCUUGUGCUUGCAGUCGCAUGCUACUGGGGCGCACUUCUUCGUAUUGGUAGGUUAACAUCAAUUUUGGACGUUAUAAAAUGACUGGAGGAAUGUAGCUUCGAUUUUUCGAAGUGUUAUAGCCUUUGGUAAAUGUGACGACCGGGAUUGAGGAUUGCAACGAAUGCUUUUUGGCUAUCCGUCUGGCCUCUGAUGGUUUCUUUGGGAUCGAAAGCGUGCUUACGACUUCAAAGCUGGCUGUCAAAAGGUUAGAACGCGAUUAAAUUCGUUAAGGAUGUUGACGUAAUGGCUUUAAACGACCCGUCUUGAAACACGGACCAAGGAGUCUAACAUAUAUGCGAGUGUUUGGGUGCGAAAACCCUUACGCGUAAUGAAAGUAAUUUUGGUGAGUAUCGCGUUAGCGUGCAC